AGUGAACGCUGGCGGUAGGCCUAACACAUGCAAGUCGAACGGCAGCACAGUAAGAGCUUGCUCUUACGGGUGGCGAGUGGCGGACGGGUGAGGAAUACAUCGGAAUCUACUUUUUCGUGGGGGAUAACGUAGGGAAACUUACGCUAAUACCGCAUACGCCCUACGGGUGAAAGCAGGGGAUCUUCGGACCUUGCGCGAUUGAAUGAGCCGAUGUCGGAUUAGCUAGUUGGCGGGGUAAAGGCCCACCCAGGCGACGAUCCGUAGCUGGUCUGAGAGGAUGAUCAGCCACACUGGAACUGGGACACGGUCCAGACUCCUACGGGAGGCAGCAGUGGGGAAUAGUGGACAAUGGUCGCAAGCCUGAUCCAGCCAUACCGCGUGGGUGAAGAAGGCCUUCGGGUUGUAAAGCCCUUUUGUUGGGAAAGAAAAGCAGCAGGUUAAUACCCCGCUGUUCUGACGGUACCCAAAGAAUAAGCACCGGCUAACUUCGUG
rnacentral:rRNA from 1 species